UUUUCUGAUUUUUUCUUAUGUUUAUGAUUUAAUGUUAUACUGCCUUAAACUAUAAGUUCCAUUGGUCAGGAAUAGGGAAUUCCUAUAUUUAAAUACUCUCAUGAUGUGGUCAGUAAUCCUAACUCUUACUUGCCAGAUACUGUACUUUUUUGUAGACAAGUAGCUUAUCAUUUUUUAAAUAAGUGGAUAAGCUGGACCUUAUUAUCCACUUAAUAAUAUGAUCCUAUUAUUCCUCUAAGUAGGAGAAGGUGAAAGUACAAACCAUUAAGUGGUGAUAAUUUCUAAAAGAGCCUACAGAAUUGUCUCAUAGAUGUACUUAUACCCAGAAGAUCCUUCUAUGUGCAUGUUGGUGGUACUAUAAAGGAAUGGCUCAUGCUAUAGGAAGAUGGAAUGAGGGAGGAAGGGAGGGAGGGGAGGAGGGAAGGAGGGAAGAUAAAUCUUUCACAAGAACAAAUAAUGAUAAGUUAAUUCCCAGACACAAAAAUAAAAUGUCAGAUGUGGGAGAUUUCUACUUGAUCAUAUAUUAGCAAAGUUCUUCCACUGUGAUCUUUGAAAAACACAAAUAUGACUCUGUUAUAUAUCUCCUUAAACUGCUUCAGUAGCUCCCCAACAUAUAAUGAAAGUAUUUCUAGUUUGAACUUAUGAAUUCUUACAAGUUUCAUGGCAUUUUUGGGAUUCUGUGUAACAUUAAAAACACUAUUAUGGUAGAUUAUUUUUCUCCCUAUCCUCAUAUCCCUAUGAGAGAAUUUUUUGCCUUCCUCUGGGGUUCUUGGUUCAUAUAUAAGUAUGAAGAAGAAAACUUUUAGUAUUUGGUGGGUGAGCAAAUAGGCAGAGAUUAACAACAUUGUAACCCUAGGGUUGUAGAUUUUUUUUUUUAAUUGAGAUAUAAUGGACAAAUAAAACUGUGUAGAUUCAAGGUAUGCAAUGUGUUGGUUUGAUACACUUCCAUAUUACAAUAUGAUUACUAUAGUAGUGUUAGCUAAUACUUUUAUCAUGUUACAUAAUUAUCAUUUGUGUUUUGAGAACAAUUAAGAUCUAGUCUCUUAGCAACUUUGAGGUUUAUAAUGCAGUAUUGUUGACUAUAAUCACUAUGUCGUAAAGAGAUCUCUAGCGCUUACUUAUUUACUAGUUGCAAGUUUACAGGGUUGUGUUUUAAAAGGAUGUUAGUAUUAGCAGGAGGAAGGUUUGUUUAUUAAGGUAAACAAGUGAAACAACUGAGUAAAGACAGGACAUAAAGGCCUCCUAAUAUUUUCCCAAUUCCAUCAAGGCAAAUAUGAUUAAGUGCUGAGAACUGAGAUCAUGCAGUGUGGGCAGAAUGGACUGACCAAGAGAGAGAAGGACAAGGAAGAAUACAAAAUAAGUACAGUGUUGGGUUCUGUAUGGACAAAUAGGAGACUAUAUAUCUUUUUUUUUUUUUUUUUCAGUGUAUUGUUUAGGAUACUGUUGGAUACAACCAAUCAAAAUCUAAUUCAGUUUCAUUUAACCACAUAAGAGACUUAAUGGCUACCAUGAAAAGGGCCCAUUGGUGGGUGGGCAUCAGGAAUGUAUUGAUUCUGUGGCUCAAAAGUAUCAGUAAAAGCUGUGUUUCUUUCAACCUCCUCAUUUUGCCUCCCAUGGUACUAGCUUAAUUCUAAAGCCUGGCUCCCCAUCACGGUCACAGUAUAUGCCUGGCAUUUACCCCUGGAGAUACUAUGUCCUUAACCAUAAAUGAAAAGAGAGAAAUUGUGCAAUUUGCUUCUGGAAGCCCUCCCAGAAAAACAAGGAUGCUUAUUUCCCAGAAGCCUUCAGCAAACCUUUUCAGUAAAUCACUUGGUCAAACAUGUCUCAUGCCCUCCCCUGAAUCAAUAACUGUGGCUAAAGGGUAGGAUUUUGAUUUUUAUCUUAAGGUGGAGCCACAUGUCUUACCCCUAGAUCCUAAAGAUUCAGUGACUUUCUCUCAAAGUAUUUUUAUGUUAUAUGGAGGAGUUGGAGCUAUUGGAAUGAAAACUGAGCAACUCUCCCAGAACAAAGAAACAAAUAAAAACCAAUUGGUAUUGAAGAACUAGUCACCACACCCAUUACUAUUUCUUCCUGUUGAGAUUCCAUGUGCUUGUCUAAUAGACUAAUUUGUUUUUCAUGGCUGUAGACUCUACUUCCCACUUUUCCAGUGCUAAGGAUAUUUUAUAGAAAAUGUGUGUGUGUGUUUCCCCAAAGAGAGGGUGCCUAACAUCCACUGAAAUUUGAAAUAAACUUACAAUUCCAAAAUAUCAAGAAUCACUAAAAUUUACAUGAAGUCCCUAGAUAAGGUGGUUAUUUCUUCUCUUGUAGUGUCUCCUCAACUUAUUUCUGUACCUCCAAAACAAAAAGAAUUCCAAACUUUUCCUUGGCCUUAAAGGUGGGCCAUUUCGUGGCUUCAGGUUCUGUAAACACGUCAUUUCCUCUUCCACCUCUUCUGGCUGGUAAACCUUCACUCUGUCUUCAAGACUAACUUCAAGGGACGUCCGGUGGCUCCGUGGUUGAGCAUCUGCCUUUGGUUCAGGUUGUGAUCCCGGGGUCUUGGGAUUGAGUCCUAUGUUGGGCUCCCCAUGGGGGGCCUGCUUCUCCCUCUGCCUUUCUUGUCUCUCAUGAAUAAAUAAA
rnacentral:lncRNA from 1 species